UACGGGGGGAGCAAGCGUUGUUCGGAUUUACUGGGCGUAAAGGGCGCGUAGGCGGUCAGCACAAGUCAGUUGUGAAAUCUCCGGGCUUAACUCGGAAAGGUCAACUGAUACUGUGCGACUAGAGUGCAGAAGGGGCAGCUGGAAUUCUCGGUGUAGCGGUGAAAUGCGUAGAUAUCGAGAGGAACACCUGCGGUGAAGGCGGGUUGCUGGGCUGACACUGACGCUGAUGCGCGAAAGCCAGGGGAGCGAACGGG
rnacentral:rRNA from 1 species